rnacentral:rRNA from 1 species
CUUGCUUUCUUUGCUGGCGACCGGCGCACGGGUGAGUAACACGUAUCCAACCUGCCCUUUACUCGGGGAUAGCCUUUCGAAAGAAAGAUUAAUACCCGAUAGUAUAAUGAUUCCGCAUGGUUUCAUUAUUAAAGGAUUCCGGUAAAGGAUGGGGAUGCGUUCCAUUAGGUUGUUGGUGAGGUAACGGCUCACCAAGCCUUCGAUGGAUAGGGGGUUCUGAGAGGAAGGUCCCCCACAUUGGAACUGAGACACGGUCCAAACUCCUACGGGAGGCAGCAUG